GCUGGCGCUCUCGCCGAGGCAGGCGACAAGCUCUCUCGCUGCUCUCUGGCGACUGGCGACUGGCGACUCGGGUCGCCGAGAACAGCAGGAAAAUCCAUUUUCCAUUUUCCCACAUACGGACACUGGCUCAAAGUAUCGUGUGCGGCGGACGUCCUUGUCGUGCGUGCGUCGUUUGCUCGCGCUGACGGUGUUUUUUGGGUUCAGGGAGCACAGGCACAUCGCAUCGAGCAGCAUGGAAAUAUAGCCACUGGCGGGCGCAACGGAACAACAGGAGCCCCAGCUAACUGUUCAUUUUCGCAUUCGCAAUCGCAAUCGCAAUCGCAUUCGAAUCGAUUCCGAGUGUUGUUGUGUGGCUGGUGCAUUCGAAAAGAUGUGAUGCCUUUUUUUUUAGUGAGAUUUUUUCCUAUUUUUCCCAUCAAUUUCGGUGAGAGUGCUGUGCAACGAAAGGGAAUACCAAAAACGAUUUCUUUUAGAAAAUCGCGAGAGUCCCCGAAGGAGAAGGCCACACAUAGAAAGGAAAAGGAAAAGCGCAAAGCGAAAGCCAAGGAAAGGCAGCGCAAUAAGGUUUUCACCUGCCCACACCACCUUUAAAGACCUGACCCUGAAAACUAGCCACUUGGAGGCCACAAAAGCGUGCUAUUUAUGGAAAGAAGAAAUAAAAGGAGUCCCAAUCAAUUUAAGCAUCAAUUCAACAUCUUGCGGUGGGUGCUAAAGGAAGCUGGGCGAGAAGAGGGCGCGCCAGAAGGGCUUCAGCGGCGAAACAGGGGGCGUCACAUUUAACGGAAGGAAAAGGAAAGCCAACCCGACCGAAUCAUGAAACAUUCAAAUAUUUCCAUACACAAGGACAUGAUGGAAUUCGGAUAACUGCAACCGAGAAUAACGCAAUCAAAUCAAAUUUGGACAUUUUCACCGAGUAUUUCACUUAGCGGUUAUAAGCAUCGUUAAUGAUCAUGAAUCGAAAAGAUAUUAAUAGAGCUUGUAAAUGAAAGCAUACAUCCGAACAAAGCAACUUUGAUAUAUACCACCCAAACCAAACUGUUCUCAGCGGAUCAGUAAGGACCAAGAGGAGGAGGAGGAGGAGCAGGACGACGACGAGGAAAAGGCCGACGGGCCAGAGAGGGCAGCAAAACCGCCGCUACAUCAGCGGGCACAGCGGUCAUGGAACCAUCCGGCGGAGUGCCGCCGGAUAGGGAUAGGCAGCUGGUGCUCCGGAAUCAGUCGGCUGCCCUGGUGCCCGUGAUCGUUUCCGCACCACCCUCUGGACCGGGGGCAACCACUCCCAACCCGCAGCCAUCGUCACAGUCACAGGCGUCGCCGCUGCCCAGCAAGCCAACCAGUCUGAGUCUUCAGCCGCAUGCCGUGCUCCAGGCCAUGCAACAGUUAUCCCCAUCGGCCGGAGGCAACAACAACGCCACCAGCGCAGUUGCCACGGCCACGAGCAGCAGCAGUGGGAACGCCAAUAGCGGCAGCAGUCCCGCCCUGGCCUCCACCGCCACGGCCAUAUCGGCGACAACCCAGGCGGCUACUGCCUUUAGCGGCAGUUCGGUGGGUCACCACCACCCGCAGCACCACCACCAGCAUCCGCAUGCCCCACAGCAGCAGCAACAGCAACCGCAUCCGACCAAUGCACCGAGUACAGCGCCACAAGCCCACCACCACGGCUCCAUUUCCGUCACUGGGUCGAGCGGUGGACUCAUUGGUUCCAGUGGCGGCAGUGGUAACCAGCAGCAGGCCAUUGAGAAGCUAUCGCGACCCAUGGCCUUCGAUAAGAUGGAAAUGCUGGUGCGUGAGAUGCAGGACCAGGAACACGGUGUGCCCGUGCGGCAGCAGAAAAUGUUCCUCACAUCCAUACCAUAUGCGUUUAUGGGAUACGAUCUAAUUGAAUGGCUGAUGGACCGCCUGCAAAUCGAGGAGUCGGAGGCCCUGAACAUUGCUAAUCAACUGUGUCUGCACGGCUACUUCUUUCCGGUCAACGACUCAAAGACGCUGACCGUGAAGGACGAUUCGUCGCUGUAUCGGUUCCAGACACCCUACUAUUGGCCCUGGCAGCACAAGGCGCCGGAUAAUGUGGAGUAUGCCAUCUAUUUGGCCAAACGAUCGCUGCGCAACAAGCAGCGGCACGCACUGGAGGACUACGAGGCCGAGGCACUGGCCUCGCUGCACAAGAACCUGAAGGGCAAGUGGGACUUCAUCUCGAUGCAGGCCGAGGAGCAGGUGCGCCUGGCCAAGGAGCGCAAGAAGGGUGACAAGAUCGUGGGAGACUCGCAGGAACGAGCUUACUGGAGAGUUCACCGUCCACCACCUGGCCAGUUCACUCCCUUGGAGCCCUGUCCAGUGCCUUCGCGCGAUCGUCAGGGCCUCAAGCCCAAUAAAAAAAAGACUGUCGAUGACAUGCAGCGCGACGUUGACUACUUGGGCAAGUCGCUCAAUCGGACACGGAUGAAGAUGUCGCAGGCCUGCGAGUCGCUCGUCUGCUACUCGGAGACCUUCUCCGAAUACGAUUUCUUUCUGCAGCCGGCAUUGCCCUCCAAUCCGUGGGUGACCGAGGAUAUUGCCUUUUGGCAGCUGAACAACACAUUUGUGGACAUUCCCACAGAGAAGCGCGUCAAGCGCUGGGCCAUUUCCAUCGAGGAGCUCGUCUCCGAUCCCACAGGCCUACAGGAGUUCACCGGCUUCCUGGAGAAGGAGUACUCGCACGAAAACAUCCGCUUCUGGAUAGCGGUCAAUCGAUUGCGCCGCUCCGCUCACUCUCAGGUGGCACGAAAGGUCAACGAAAUCUACGAAGAGUUUUUAAAGCCAGGAGCACCGUGCGAGAUAAACAUUGACGGCAAGACCAUGGAGAGCGUUCUCCGGGGCCUGAAAAACCCAUCGCGGUUCACCUUUGACUCGGCCUCGGAGCACAUAUACAUGCUGCUGCUGAAGAAGGACUGCUACCCACGAUUUAUUCGAUCCGAGCACUACAAACGUCUGCUAGACACCGGCAUUCAGCCGUCGUACAAGAAGCGGUUUUUUAACUUUGGCGGCGUUAGCGGAGCCAAGAAGAAAAUGACAGCCGCCCUGAGCAGCCAGCCAAACCUGGGGGAUGCGGCCAAAGGAGCUGGUGGCACUGGCUCCGGCAGCUGUUCCAUGAUGCAGGCACCACCGCCCGGAAGCCUGGCCCGGCGCCGUGGCAGCGAUCGCAGUCUCACGGGUUCCGCCCACGAACUGGCCGUGAUCGGGGUGAACAAGGAUUCGGGCUCCAAGGUACCACACUCUCAUUCCCAGAGUAAUCUCAGCGAAAUUCCCUUCAGUAGCGAUUCAAUUUAUCGAGGCGAUAUGCCACAGCGCCACAUGGCGGUCAUGGAUGUUGGGAUCUAUGCGGCCUACGGGAAUCGCGAAAGUAGUUUGCAGGCACUUCCAGAAACGCCAAAGACGAAGACCACCGCCCUUGAGACAACGGAGUCCACGUCGUCGUCCACAGCUCUGGUUGUGGCGGCCAGCAGUGCCGUCUGUCCUUGGGACGAACCAGCCGAACCAGUCCCGCCGCCGCCAGCGCAGUUAAAGCUAUCCGUGUGUCCCUGGGAAUCGGAUAGUGCCACAGAGCCGCCGGCUCCCACUACGGCCACAGGAGGAGGAGGACCGUCGAAGAUCUCAAGUUCCACCGGGCAGCCAUUGCGGUUGAAUAGCACUUCCUCGGACAACAGCGAUGUGAAUGACCGAAUGCAGCGGAAUUUGGGUAUUCGCCAUCAGAACACCGUGGACAGUGGUGAGGCAGGUAUCAAGCGUCUGAUUCCCAACUUUCCAGAGCAGCGUCGGGCUUCAGUCUCAUUUACUCCAAGCCGUACUCUGGAUUUCCAGCUGGGACGGGCUCCAACGACGACAUCCUCACCCAGUAGCUCCACCCCGCUGCAGGCUCGCAGUGCUGCCUACGGUAGUGGCGCCAUCACAAAGGAUCCACCAUCUGGUUCUGAUAUCGAUGCGGAACUGGAGGCGGAACUCAACCAGUUGUCCCUUGGCGACUCCUCGACAUCGGAGUUGCCGCUCCUAAUAGUACCCACCCCCACGCAGACCCCGCCGCCCAUUACAAAGAUUACGCCGGUGCCGGGAGAAUGCGAGGAUCAGGCGGCGGCCACUUCGACAGGGACCGCGGAAAUGUCCUGCUCAACCCAAACCAAGCCAGUGAAGAAGGCACCGGUGACGGUGACCACAGUCAAAGAAGUCCAGAUUGAACUGAUCGAGGAGGGCAGUAGUGUCCACACAGAACCAGGAAGUCCGCCCACCAUUAAAGUCCUGGAGCUAGAAGCAACUACAUCCGUAUCUUCUGAGCCAGCAGCAGCAGAUACAGGGGGGUGUACAGCACAGAUAAACACCACCACCACCGAGGAGCAUCCAGAGUUAGAGGAUGAAACGGAAAAGGCUGCCGAAAUAGAAGCGCCGGUUUUGGACGAGCUUUCACCCACCACCGACGAGUACCAGGAGGGUCUGCAGUUUGGCAGCGAUGCCAAGGACGCAGUCGACGACUUUGACAGCAUAGACGUGGGCUAUAUACCGCCUGCACCUACCCCGGCUCCCUCCAUGGCACCGCUGGCUGAGCUGGACGUGGACACGGUGGACGAUGAGCCGUUCGAGCCACCGCCCCUUCCUCCUAGCAGCAGGGACGCGGUGUUGGCUUCGGCUUCGGCCUCCGCCUCCGUAUCGGCUACGGCCACGCCCACAUCCAGCAACGAAGAAGCGCGCAAGCGGCGCAAGAAACGAAACUCGGAGGGCAAGAAACUUAGCUCGCAGGACGAAAAGGAUAAGGAGUCGCGCGAUAGGGCUGGCGGAAGCAGCAUCGACGCCGAUCACAAUGCGGUGUGUCCCUGGGAAGACGAGAACGUCAGCACGAACGACGGCACCUUCGUGAAGACGUAUGCCACAUUGGGAUACUUAUGAAUAAAGCCAAAUCUGUUCAAGACGGUGGUCAACAAGUUGCUGAAAAGGAAGCCAUACAAGAAGUAAGGUCUGGGUAGCUAAGUUUAUUAUACGGAGUAUCUAUUAUAAUACGUACAUGCAAACAUAUUAUGUAAAUAAAUUUAUUGAGCUGCCCGCCCAAACAAUCGCAGAAAUCGAGCUAUGCUGUAUAACACUAACAACUUAAAGCCAACAUCGAUGGGAGUGAACCGUGAUGGCCCGCAUCUUUAAGAUCAAAUUACUGUUCCAUUCGAACACGUUAACCUUAUAAAAACAAAUGAUUAGAAAAUCAAAUUAAGAUGAAAUCCUGGUUGUUCGCGACUAAUACCUUUAUAUGAAUCGAAAAAAGAUAACUUAUCGAAGAACUAUUACAAUCUAAGUAUAUUUCUAUUUUCAUUGUGCAUAUGAAUUAGCUACUUACUGUCGAGCCCAUUUUGCUGGUAAACAAUCUUUAUAUGGGAUAUCUGAAUUCUCUUUGUGCUUUCUAUGCUAAAAACACAUUUUUCAACUACUUCAAUUAACAAGCAAAACCUAAACUGUAAAACUAUAUGUACCAAAUGUUGUACCAAAUGAAGAGAGUUACAUAAAUGACGAAAACCUAAGCAAAUCAUAGAAAAUUUUGCAUAGAUAUUACGAGUCGAGGGGUACAUAUAGACAAAUAGGAACAAUGUGCCGAGUGUAGGGCGUGCGUACAAAAUGUGUACAUGAAACCACCGUUAACUUUGCUUAAUGCGAGCCGAGCAAUUAAAGAGUUAAAAAACAAAAUAAAGAAAUGAAAAAAGUAAAUCAGCGGCAGCAAUAGUUCCAAAAUUGUUGUCAAAAUAUAAUAGCAGCUUUUAGAACAACACCAAAGAAGUUGUAGUAAAUGCGGAGGAAAAUUGUAUUGUUGUUGUUUUUUAUGUACAUUUACUUUUUUGUAUUAACGUUGUUGUAAGUCAAAUAUGCCAAAAAGAAUAGUUUAUUAAGAGUUUACAAGAAAAUUUGAAGGCAAGAUAUGAAUUACUUUAACGCAAAUCGCAAGAAAAAGUUCCGAAUGUUUUUAGUAAUCAAUGGUGAAUAUCUUUUAAUUGCUUAUACUAAAUGUUCCCAUACAUAUUUAUGGGAUCCUUGACGCAACAUAAAUCUUAAAUAAAUAUAGCUAGCGCGGCUGUCGACUUUACUUAUCCCGGUACUCAAAAAACCGAAAAUACAAUAAGAUACUGGUUUGAUGAUAUAGCGAAAACUUUAAGUAAUGAAAUAACAUGUUAUUAGGUGGUAUUCAAGUCUUACCUGAUUUUAUAUGCGUUGGCACUUGGCCAUUUUUUUUUAAGAUUGCAACAUUAGAUAAGUGCAAAUCAGAUUUCCUCAGAUUUAUUUAUAGCUCUGAAAAAGUGGUCGAAUUAUAGAUACAAUUUCGAAAUAUAAUUUCAACAAUUUGAAAGUACUUUCCAAAAAUACAUUUUGUCCGUUGUUCGUCGAGUAAAAGGGUAUACUAGAUUCGUCGGAAAGUAUGUAACAGGUAGAAGGAAGCGUUUCCGACUCCAUAAAGUAUAUAUGUAUAUUCUUGAUCAGGAUCACUUGCCGAGUCGAUCUAACCAUGUCCGUCUGUCCGCUUUGUAAAAAUUUAAAUAAGAUAUUGUUUUAUUAUCAAUACCUAUAUAUAUGCCAAAAAAUAUUGAACUCGGACCAGUCAAUAAAAAGUUAUAACCAAAUAAUAAACAAUACUUUGAAAUUCAAUCGAGAUUGCUUACCACAUGCAGCAUAUAAACUGUUUUCACUAAUACGCCACCAAGCCGGUAGGGGCGCUAUAGGCUAGUUGGCGCUGUAGGCCAAGUGGCGCUAUAUAAGGAGAAGAUAGGUGGCGCUAUAGGCUAGGUGUGUUAGUGAAAAAAGCUUAGUUGCUUUAAGCAACUCUCCAUCUCUUUCGCACUCCCUUAAGCUGAAUAACGGGUAUCUAAUAGUCGGGGCCAUCGACUAUAGCGUUUUCUCUUGUUUUAGAGUACAAUCUGCAUGUUUCGAAAACAUGCACUAUUUUCUGGGACUUACUUUAACAAAACAUAAAAUCUUAUAAAUGUUGAUUAUGUAUUUUAAAAUGUUUAAAUAAUAUAUUUUUUGAAAUAUAUUCCUAAAUUUCUGAAAAUUAGUCCGAAAUGUAUAAUUUCUUUAUUGAUUGAGUGAUUUAAAUUUAAUGAUUAAUUUUUAGAACUUAGGACGGUUUUCAUUUUAAGUUUAUGGCAAAUAAUAAUUGUUAGCUGCCAGAAGUUGGAAUCUGGCAGCCAAAAAUGGUGUCUGUUGUUUAGUUGUAUAAUAAUUGAUUUUUUGAGUAUCGGGUAAGCAUAAAAAGAAAAUACUAUAAAUGGUAUUAUGGAUUGAUAAAGCCGCUGCCGCGCCAUUUUGAAAAUAAUAAAAAUUCGAUAACUAAUGUAUGUUAAACAAAUUACAUAAGUAUAUACUACUUCAUGCGACAGGUGGGUAGCAUUGCCCUACAAAUAUUUACUUUAAUUUCUGGAUAAUUAGUGCUCAUAUCACUGAUUAGAGAACAGGAAUGCGCAAAACAAUAUGCUUAAUACAUAAGAUUCCAGAGCUUUUAGUAACGCCAUGUAAAUUCUGGGUCAUGAAUACAGUUGUGAAGAGUGUAAACGAGGCGUUUGUUAUUAUGUAUUCAAGUCAUUUACUAUAAGUGUAUACAGCUUAUACUAUUACAAAAGUGUUAAAAACAUGAAUUAUUUUGAGAAAACCAAAAAAAGAAUAUACAACAAACAUGUUAGUCGGUAAAAGAAAUCAAAUGUAAAACAAUUUAAUGUAGACUGUACUAAAGAAUUCAAGGAUAAUUGAAUAUCAACACUCCAUCACGCAAGUAACUUAAAGGAAAUUCGCAAAUUGAAUAGAAAUUGAUGGGAAAAUUAUUUGCACAGUGCAGAAAAACGUGUUAUAAUAUUAUUAUACUAUACAAAAAAUAUAUAUUAUUAAAUUAUGCUGAUGAAAUUAAAAACCAUAAAAGUAUGUAAAAAAAUUCAAAUACAAAAUGAUUUAAAUGAAGUACAAUAAAUAUU